rnacentral:rRNA from 1 species
AGUCGAGCGGUAGAGAGAAGCUUGCUUCUCUUGAGAGCGGCGGACGGGUGAGUAAUGCCUAGGAAUCUGCCUGGUAGUGGGGGAUAACGUUCGGAAACAGACGCUAAUACUGCAUACGUCCUACGGGAGAAAGCAGGGGACCUUCGGGCCUUGCGCUAUCAGAUGAGCCUAGGUCGGAUUAGCUAGUUGGUGGGGUAAUGGCUCACCAAGGCGACGAUCCGUAACUGGUCUGAGAGGAUGAUCAGUCACACUGGAACUGAGACACGGUCCAGACUCCUACGGGAGGCAGCAGUGGGGAAUAUUGGACAAUGGGCGAAAGCCUGAUCCAGCCAUGCCGCGUGUGUGAAGAAGGUCUUCGGAUUGUAAAGCACUUUAAGUUGGGAGGAAGGGCAGUAAAUUAAUACUUUGCUGUUUUGACGUUACCGACAGAAUAAGCACCGGCUAACUCUGUGCCAGCAGCCGCGGUAAUACAGAGGGUGCAAGCGUUAAUCGGAAUUACUGGGCGUAAAGCGCGCGUAGGUGGUUCGUUAAGUUGGAUGUGAAAUCCCCGGGCUCAACCUGGGAACUGCAUUCAAAACUGACGAGCUAGAGUAUGGUAGAGGGUGGUGGAAUUUCCUGUGUAGCGGUGAAAUGCGUAGAUAUAGGAAGGAACACCAGUGGCGAAGGCGACCACCUGGACUGAUACUGACACUGAGGUGCGAAAGCGUGGGGAGCAAACAGGAUUAGAUACCCUGGUAGUCCACGCCGUAAGCGAUGUCAACUAGCCGUUGGGAGCCUUGAGCUCUUAGUGGCGCAGCUAACGCAUUAAGUUGACCGCCUGGGGAGUACGGCCGCAAGGUUAAAACUCAAAUGAAUUGACGGGGGCCCGCACAAGCGGUGGAGCAUGUGGGUUUAAUUCGAAGCAACGCGAAGAACCUUACCAGGCCUUGACAUCCAAUGAACUUUCUAGAGAUAGAUUGGUGCCUUCGGGACAUUGAGACAGGUGCUGCAU